UACGUAGGGCGCAAGCGUUGUCCGGAAUUAUUGGGCGUAAAGAGCUCGUAGGCGGCUUGUCACGUCGGAUGUGAAAGCCCGGGGCUUAACUCCGGGUCUGCAUUCGAUACGGGCUGGCUAGAGUGUGGUAGGGGAGAACGGAAUUCCCGGUGUAGCGGUGAAAUGCGCAGAUAUCGGGAGGAACACCGGUGGCGAAGGCGGUUCUCUGGGCCUGUGCUGACGCUGAGGAGCGAAAGCGUGGGGAGCGAACAGG
rnacentral:rRNA from 1 species